rnacentral:rRNA from 1 species
CCAAUAGCGUAUAUUAGUGUUGUUGCGGUUAAAAAGCUCGUAGUUGAAUUUCGGGAUUGGGAUAUAUCGGUCGUGCCUUUAGGGGCAUGAAUCAGUGUGUGGCCAAUUCUCACCUUCUGGUGAAUUGGGAUGCUCUCGGGUGUUUCAAUGAACUAGGACUUUUACUUUGAAAAAAUUAGAGUGUUUAAAGCGGGCAUUUUUGCUUGAAUACGUUAGCAUGGAAUAAUAAAAUAGGACGAUGGUUCUAUUUUGUUGGUUUUAGGACCACGUAAUGAUUAAUAGGGAUAGUUGGGGGCAUUAGUAUUCAAUUGUCAGAGGUGAAAUUCUUGGAUUUAUUGAGGACUAACUAUUGCGAAAGCAUUUGCCAAGGAUGUUUUCAUUAAUCAAGAACGAAAGUUAGGGGAUCAAAGACGAUUUAUGUACGUCGUAGUCUUAACCAUAAACUAUGCCGACUAGGAAUCAGACAAAGUUAAUUUUUUAACGACUUGUUUGGUACCUUACG